rnacentral:lncRNA from 1 species
GAGGUGAAGAUGCAGCGGGCGGAACCCGGUGGAGCUAGUGGGAUUCGGGGGCGCUAAAGUCGCAGGGACAGGGCGGGAAGGAAGAUCCGGAGCGGGGCAGAGGAUCCGGAGCUGGAGCCCCCAGGGGCACAGGCGCUGGGGACGCCUCCCUGCUUAUACCCGCCCGUGUCCUGCCCAGGACCCAUCAGAGGCUCCAGGGGUGCUCCGGGGGAUGCUGCCGUACUCCCUCUUCAUCCCGAAGGACGGGUUUGGGAAAGGCCUCCGACGGCUCGUGGGGCAGCUCCUGUGGGAUCUUCCCUCCUUGAAGAAGGGAGUGGGUCGGGACAAGUGAGGCCGGCUCCAUGUAUCCGGAAUCGACCACGGGGUCCCCGGCUCGGCUCUCCCUGCGGCAGACCGGCUCCCCUGGCAUGAUCUACAGUACUCGGUAUGGGAGCCCCAAAAGACAGCUCCAGUUUUACAGGUAACGAGCCCUCCGUUUUCCCUACAACCGGCAAGCAGGGCAGCGGGUGGGAGAGCCGUGCCGUCCAGGCCGGGUGUGCUGGUGAUUUCUCGGGCGUGAAAACUCCCCCGUGAGAUCCAGGCUCUGGUCCUCUUCUCG